AUUCAUGUCCAGGGAAAUGUGAAACAAUCAAGAGAAUUUGUUGAAGUUCGAUGAGGAAGCUCUGCAAAUCAUAUAUAUACCAUAUAUAUAAAAAAAAGUUCUCCAAAGAUCAUAAAUAAGACCAGUAUAUUUUGCUAUGGCAUCUGAGCUGUCCCACAGCAACUCACAAGGGCUCUGCUCAGCAGCGAUCCUGGACAUCAGACAGACUGCAGACGUCUUGCACAGACAGAUUUCAACAAGUAAACAAAUGCUGCUCAGCUCGGAAUGAGUUUACAGCUGAACUUUCUCAUCAUUGCCCGUCAUGAGAGAAGCCAGCAUUGUAGUGUUGACUCACGGACAAGACCUUUUCCUCCACCUCCCAUCGCAAAACACGGGAAAGCGGCAGCCCAGCAACCACAACAUGAGAAUUAAGCUUUAACCCAGUGUUCAGGAUUCAAAGCGAGCAGCGGCAAGGCGGUCCAGAGGCUGGGAUGCCGCGGAGAAACCCCGAUGCCAACAGCGCAGUCAUCGCGGCGAACUUGGGCUGGAUUUCCUCAGAAUCUUCAGGUGCAGCAUUGCAGGAUGAUGACUGGACUUGCAUCUGCUUUGGCUGUUCUCAGAACUAGCAUCAAAGAAACUUGCUUUGGAAUAGAAAAAGAUGAAUGCCAAACUCUUGAAUAAAAAAAGGGAGUCUUUGAAAGUGAAGAUGAAGAAAGUUGCCCAUUUUUUCCCCCUUUCUUAAGUAAACAAUGCAAAUAACAGUAUUUGCCACUGCUGGUUUAUGAUGGAAGAAUAAAAACAU